rnacentral:lncRNA from 1 species
ACUCACCCCGUAUUCCAUGUGAGUCAGUUGACUUCGAUUAGACCAGACCGACCCAGAGUGGAACGUGUCUGCGAGGGCACCACCAGAUGUUGUAGAUGAACCUACUAAAGAAGAAGGUUGAGUAUAUCAUAGCUGACCGCACCAUGGGCUAGCCCAUACACCCACUGUACGAGUGAAAUACUACUUAGUCAAGUAAAAGGGCCAACCUGAGAGCGAGGCGAGCUGGGAACGGGCUGAAACGCGUCUUUAUCGUGUAUUUUGUCCUCUUGACGAGGUUCACUCUAUAUUUUCAAGGAAAAUA